GAACAGUUCUAUUUAUGCAGCAAGUAAAUGAUCACAGAGCAAGGGUGAUUUCCAUUUACCUACGUUCUUUCCUGUUCUCAGCUGCCCCAGGUCAGGGUCUCCCUGUACUGACUGAGGGCAUAGAUCUGGCUUAUACCAGAGAGGUGAUGCAUUCCAGACAUCCCACUGCUGACAUCCAGGUGGGAUUACAUGCCUUUGUACAGCCCUGGCCAUAAGGAACUGUUCUGGAGCAAAGCCCUGGAGCACUGCAGUGGAUAGGAAAAAAAAGCCAUUAAACCCUUCUGCCAGCACAGGAUUAGCUAGUGCAAGGUUAAAUCUCACUUCUUAAAAGGCUGGAUUGCUUGGUGAUAAAUGGAACGAUUUCCUGUAUUGUUUGGUAAUUAAUUGUUUGAAUCCUGUUGUAUUAAGGGGAGGGAAAGAGGAAAGAUAAGAGAAGAGGGAUGCCCUGUUCCUUCUGUAUGCACUGAGCUCCAUUCAUUGUGAAAGGAUUUAUAGUUUUCAU
rnacentral:lncRNA from 1 species